rnacentral:lncRNA from 1 species
UCCUCUUCAAUUGCUGUUUUUUCAACUUUCUCUUCAACAACUAGCUCUUCAGAUGUAUCUUCAACCGUUGGUUCUUCAGGUUUCUCUUCAAGUGCUAGUUCUUCAGGUGUUUCUAUUGCUGCCGGUUCUUGAGGUUUCUCUUCAGUCUCUGGUUCUUGAGGUUUCUCCUCAGCUGGUACUUCAGAUUUCUCCUCAAAUGUUGGUUUCUCCUCAACUGCUGGUACAUCAGGUUUCUCUUCAAUGACUAGUUCUUCAUUUUUUAUUUCAACUGCCGGUUCUUCAGAAUUUUCCUCAAUGUCUGGAGAGUGAGCAACAUCAUUAUUGGUAUUGCAUGGAAUUUCACUGCCAGUUUUGGUGUUCGAGUCUACAAUUAGCAUAUUCUGCAAAAAGACUUUAAUGUUUCACUUAGCCUUUCAAAAGAAGAGCAUGUGAAUCACUGUACAUGCAUAACUAACAAAAUGGAUAUACUUUGUGAUAGUACUUGACCCUUACCUUUUCCAAAAGAGUUACCUUUUCAGGUUUCUCCUCUUUCAUUGCUGGCUCUUUAUGUAUCUCUUCUAAUGCUAGUUCCUUGGGUGUUUCUUCAGUUACUUGUUUAUCAGGUUUCUCCUCAAUUUUUGGUUCUUUGAUCGUCUCCUCAACUGAUGGUUCUUCAAGCUUUUCUCCCACUGUUGGUGUUUCAGGUUUCUCUUCGAUUGUCGGUUGUUCAGGUAUUUUCUCAACCGGUGGUUCUUCUGGUUUCUCCAAAACCCUUGAUUCUUCAGAUUUCUCUUCAAUAGCUGAUUCUUCAGAUAUCUCUUCAACUUCUGGUUCUUCAGUAUUUUCCUCAACUGAUGCAUAGUCAGCAAUGUCAUUGUUGGUAUUGCAUGGAAUUGCAUUGUCUGUUGUGUUCUUUGAGUUUACAAUUGGCAAAUUCUGCAAGAAAAUUUGAAGUUCCAUUUAGUCUUUCAAUAGAUGAAACAUAUUUAAAUUCAUUGCACUUAUAAAGUUAAUAUGCUGAAUAAACUUUGUGACAGUGUUAAUUGUCACCUUCUCCUGAAGAGCUUCCGUUUCAGGUUCCUCCUCUUCAAUUGCUGGUUUUUCAUCUUUCUCUUCAACAACUAGCCCUUCAGAUGUAUCUUCAACUGUUAGUUCUUCAGGUUUCCCUUCAAGUGCUAGUUCUUCAGCUGUUUCUAUAGCUGCUGGUUUUUCAGGUUUCUCUUCAGUUGCCGGUUCUUGAGGUUUCUCCUCAGCUGGUACUUCAGAUUUCUCCUCAAAUUUUGGUUCUUCAGGUUUCUCCUCAACUGCUGGUACAUCAGGUUUCUCUUCAAUGACUGGUUCUUCAUUUUUUAUUUCAACUGCCGAUUCUUCAGGAUUUUCCUCGAUGUCUGGAGAGUGAGCAACAUCAUUAUUGGUAUUGCAUGGAAUUUCACUGCCAGUUUUGGUGUUCGAGUCUACAAUUAGCAUAUCCUGCAAAAAGAAUUUAAUGUUUCACCUAGCCUUUCAAAAAAAGAUCAUGUGAAUCACAGUACAUGCAUAACUAACAAAAUGGAUAAACUUUGUUA